CUCCUCCUAAUUCCUAUUCUAAUCCAAAGAAACCAGCAGUCCAGGCGUCCAGCAGUCUCAUUCUCAUUUCUCAACCCUAACGCCUAAGUCCUAAAGACAGUCGACAAAAAUCAAAAUCACAGAAACCCAACCCUAACGCCUAAACCAGCAGCCACCGCCCACCAGUCGUUGUCGACUUCCACCACUACCAGGCACCAGUCUCAUUCUCUCCGUCUCGCGGCUUCUUAUCUUCUUAUCCAGUUGUUGUGGAUGAGAAGGCAAAGGGUGUGGUGAAGAAGGAGAAGAAGAAGGAAGGGUUUAAGACGAUUAUUGCACACAGUUAUUCUUUUAUAAUUACAAAUACUUUUUGUUGUCUCUGGUAGGUGGAAGAAGUCCAGCAGAUGCUUUUAGUAAACUUGAAGGUAACCAUCUAUGACAGCUGAAUCAAAAUUUUGCAUUUUAUGACAAA